rnacentral:rRNA from 1 species
AGAGUUUGAUNCUGNCUCCCUUAAAGGGUGGCGGNAGGCCUCAAACAUGCAAGUCUACCCCUNUGAAGCAAUACAUCACCGGCGGACGGGUGCGUAACGCGUGGGAAUGUACCUAUUGGUUCGGAACAACACNGGGAAACUUGUGCUAAUACCGAAUGUGCCCGAAAGGGGAAAGAUUUAUCGCCAAUGGAUCAGCCCGCGUUCGAUUAGCUAGUUGGUGAGGUAACGGCUCACCAAGGCGACGAUCGAUAGCUGUUCUGAGAGGAAGAUCAGCCACACUGGGACUGAGACACGGCCCAGACUCCUACGGGAGGCAGCAGUUGGGAAUCUUGGACAAUGGGGGAAACCCUGAUCCAGCCAUGCCGCGUGAGUGAUGAAGGCCUUCGGGUUGUAAAACUCUUUCGCGCACGACGAUAAUGACGGUAGUGCGAGAAGAAGCUCCGGCUAACUUCGUGCCAGCAGCCGCGGUAAUACGAAGGGGGCUAGCGUUGUUCGGAAUUACUGGGCGUAAAGCGCGCGCAGGCGGUCUUCCAAGUCAGUGGUGAAAGCCCGGAGCUCAACUCCGGAACUGCCAUUGAAACUGUUAGACUUGAGGACGAGAGAGGUGAGUGGAAUUCCCAGUGUAGAGGUGAAAUUCGUAGAUAUUGGGAAGAACACCGGUGGCGAAGGCGGCUCACUGGCUCGUUUCUGACGCUCAGGCGCGACAGCGUGGGGAUCAAACAGGAUUAGAUACCCUGGUAGUCCACGCCG